rnacentral:rRNA from 1 species
CCUGGCUCAGGACGAACGCUGGCGGCGCGCCUAACACAUGCAAGUCGAACGAGAGAUGAGGAGCUUGCUCUUCAGAUCGAGUGGCGAACGGGUGAGUAACGCGUGAGGAACCUGCCUCAAAGAGGGGGACAACAGUUGGAAACGACUGCUAAUACCGCAUAAGCCCACGGCUCGGCAUCGAGCAGAGGGAAAAGGAGCAAUCCGCUUUGAGAUGGCCUCGCGUCCGAUUAGCUGGUUGGUGAGGUAACGGCCCACCAAGGCGACGAUCGGUAGCCGGACUGAGAGGUUGAACGGCCACAUUGGGACUGAGACACGGCCCAGACUCCUACGGGAGGCAGCAGUGGGGAAUAUUGCACAAUGGGGGAAACCCUGAUGCAGCGACGCCGCGUGGAGGAAGAAGGUCUUCGGAUUGUAAACUCCUGUUGUUGAGGAAGAUAAUGACGGUACUCAACAAGGAAGUGACGGCUAACUACGUGCCAGCAGCCGCGGUAAAACGUAGGUCGCAAGCGUUGUCCGGAAUUACUGGGUGUAAAGGGAGCGCAGGCGGGAGAACAAGUUGGAAGUGAAAUCCAUGGGCUCAACCCAUGAACUGCUUUCAAAACUGUUUUUCUUGAGUAGUGCAGAGGUAGGCGGAAUUCCCGGUGUAGCGGUGGAAUGCGUAGAUAUCGGGAGGAACACCAGUGGCGAAGGCGGCCUACUGGGCGCCAACUGACGCUGAGGCUCGAAAGUGUGGGUAGCAAACAGGAUUAGAUACCCUGGUAGUCCACACCGUAAACGAUGAUUACUAGGUGUUGGAGGAUUGACCCCUUCAGUGCCGCAGUUAACACAAUAAGUAAUCCACCUGGGGAGUACGACCGCAAGGUUGAAACUCAAAGGAAUUGACGGGGGCCCGCACAAGCAGUGGAGUAUGUGGUUUAAUUCGACGCAACGCGAAGAACCUUACCAAGUCUUGACAUCCCUUGACGAACAUAGAAAUAUGUUUUCUCUUCGGAGCAAGGAGACAGGUGGUGCAUGGUUGUCGUCAGCUCGUGUCGUGAGAUGUUGGGUUAAGUCCCGCAACGAGCGCAACCCUUAUGGUCAGUUACUACGCAAGAGGACUCUGGCCAGACUGCCGUUGACAAAACGGAGGAAGGUGGGGAUGACGUCAAAUCAUCAUGCCCUUUAUGACUUGGGCUACACACGUACUACAAUGGCGUUAAACAAAGAGAAGCAAGACCGCGAGGUGGAGCAAAACUCAGAAACAACGUCCCAGUUCGGACUGCAGGCUGCAACUCGCCUGCACGAAGUCGGAAUUGCUAGUAAUCGUGGAUCAGCAUGCCACGGUGAAUACGUUCCCGGGCCUUGCACACACCGCCC